rnacentral:rRNA from 1 species
GACGAACGCUGGCGGCGUGCUUAACACAUGCAAGUCGAACGGAAAGGCCCUGCUUUUGUGGGGUGCUCGAGUGGCGAACGGGUGAGUAACACGUGAGUAACCUGCCCUUGACUUUGGGAUAACUUCAGGAAACUGGGGCUAAUACCGGAUAGGAGCUCCUGCUGCAUGGUGGGGGUUGGAAAGUUUCGGCGGUUGGGGAUGGACUCGCGGCUUAUCAGCUUGUUGGUGGGGUAGUGGCUUACCAAGGCUUUGACGGGUAGCCGGCCUGAGAGGGUGACCGGCCACAUGGGGACUGAGAGACGGCCCAGACUCCUACGGGAGGCAGCAGUGGGGAAUAUUGCACAAUGGGCGGAAGCCUGAUGCAGCAACGCCGCGUGCGGGAUGACGGCCUUCGGGCUGUAAACCGCUUUCGCCUGUGACGAAGCGUGAGUGACGGUAAUGGGUAAAGAAGCACCGGCUAACUACGUG